AGUGAACGCUGGCGGUAGGCCUAACACAUGCAAGUCGAACGGCAGCACAGUAAGAGCUUGCUCUUACGGGUGGCGAGUGGCGGACGGGUGAGGAAUACAUCGGAAUCUACUUUUUCGUGGGGGAUAACGUAGGGAAACUUACGCUAAUACCGCAUACGACCUACGGGUGAAAGCAGGGGAUCUUCGGACCUUUCGCGAUUGAAUGAGCCGAUGUCGGAUUAGCUAGUUGGCGGGGUAAAGGCCCACCAAGGCGACGAUCCGUAGCUGGUCUGAGAGGAUGAUCAGCCACACUGGAACUGAGACACGGUCCAGACUCCUACGGGAGGCAGCAGUAGGGAAUAUUGGACAAUGGGCGCAAGCCUGAUCCAGCCAUACCGCGUGGGUGAAGAAGGCCUUCGGGUUGUAAAGCCCUUUUGUUGGGAAAGAAAAGCAGCAGGUUAAUACCCCGCUGUUCUGACGGUACCCAAUGAAUAAGCACCGGCUAACUUCGUG
rnacentral:rRNA from 1 species